UGGGGAAUCUUGCACAAUGGGGGAAACCCUGAUGCAGCGACGCCGCGUGAACGAUGAAGCCCUUCGGGGUGUAAAGUUCUUUCGACAGGAGCGAUAAUGACGGUACCUGGAGAAGAAGCUGCGGCUAACUACGUGCCAGCAGCCGCGGUAAUACGUAGGCAGCGAGCGUUGUUCGGAGUUACUGGGCGUAAAGAGUGCGUAGGCGGCGAGCCAAGUUUGGUGUGAAAUCUACCGGCUUAACCGGGAGGGUGCGCCGAAAACUGGUUGGCUGGAGUAUGGGAGAGGAAAGCGGAAUUCCUGGUGUAGCGGUGAAAUGCGUAGAUAUCAGGAGGAACACCUGCGGUGUAGACAGCUUUCUGGACCAAAACUGACGCUGAGGCACGAAAGCGUUGGUAGCAAACA
rnacentral:rRNA from 1 species